GCAAACUUGGUCAUUUAGAGGAAGUAAAAGUCGUAACAAGGUUUCCGUAGGUGAACCUGCGGAAGGAUCAUUAACAAUUGUCCACCAUCAUGGAUAAUUUUAUCCAUAUCCACCUUGUGUGAAUUACAGAAUGUUUGUUGGCAGGCUUGUAGGUUUUCCGCUAUGGGGAACUUGUGUGAGUGUUCAUCGCUCAGCCUGCCAAUUUUAUUAGUUUAAACAUGUCUAAAUAUUACUAGUCUGAAAUAUAUUUAACAUAUAAUAAAUACAACUUUCAACAACGGAUCUCUUGGCUCUCGCAUCGAUGAAGAACGCAGC
rnacentral:misc_RNA from 1 species